rnacentral:rRNA from 1 species
GACGAACGCUGGCGGCGUGCUUAACACAUGCAAGUCGAACGGAAAGGCCCUGCUUGCAGGGUACUCGAGUGGCGAACGGGUGAGUAACACGUGGGUGAUCUGCCCUGCACUUCGGGAUAAGCCUGGGAAACUGGGUCUAAUACCGGAUAGGAGCCAUUUUUAGUGUGAUGGUUGGAAAGUUUUUUCGGUGUAGGAUGAGCUCGCGGCCUAUCAGCUUGUUGGUGGGGUAAUGGCCUACCAAGGCGGCGACGGGUAGCCGGCCUGAGAGGGUGGACGGCCACAUUGGGGCUGGGAUACGGCCCAGACUCCUACGGGGGGCAGCAGGGGGGAAUAUUGCACAAUGGGCGCGAGCCUGAUGCAGCGACGCCGCGUGGGGGAUGACGGCCUUCGGGUUGGAAACUCCUUUCGCUAGGGACGAAGCUUUUUGUGACGGUACCUAGAUAAGAAGCACCGGCUAACUACGUG